GGGGUUUAAAGGCCAACGAGAUGACCAUGCU
rnacentral:piRNA from 1 species